GAGUGGCGAACGGGUGAGUAACACGUGGGUAACCUGCCCAUCAGAAGGGGAUAACACUUGGAAACAGGUGCUAAUACCGUAUAACACUAUUUUCCGCAUGGAAGAAAGUUGAAAGGCGCUUUUGCGUCACUGAUGGAUGGACCCGCGGUGCAUUAGCUAGUGNGUGAGGUAACGGCUCACCAAGGCCACGAUGCAUAGCCGACCUGAGAGGGUGAUCGGCCACACUGGGACUGAGACACGGCCCAGACUCCUACGGGAGGCAGCAGUAGGGAAUCUUCGGCAAUGGACGAAAGUCUGACCGAGCAACGCCGCGUGAGUGAAGAAGGUUUUCGGACCGUAAAACUCUGUUGUUAGAGAAGAACAAGGAUGAGAGUAAAAUGUUCAUCCCUUGACGGUAUCUAACCAGAAAGCCACGGCUAACUACGUGCCAGCAGCCGCGGUAAUACGUAGGUGGCAAGCGUUGUCCGGAUUUAUUGGGCGUAAAGCGAGCGCAGGCGGUUUCUUAAGUCUGAUGUGAAAGCCCCCGGCUCAACCGGGGAGGGUCAUUGGAAACUGGGAGACUUGAGUGCAGAAGAGGAGAGUGGAAUUCCAUGUGUAGCGGUGAAAUGCGUAGAUAUAUGGAGGAACACCAGUGGCGAAGGCGGCUCUCUGGUCUGUAACUGACGCUGAGGCUCGAAAGCGUGGGGAGCGAACAGGAUUAGAUACCCUGGUAGUCCACGCCGUAAACGAUGAGUGCUAAGUGUUGGAGGGUUUCCGCCCUUCAGU
rnacentral:rRNA from 1 species